GGAACUAAGGGCGCACAGUGGAUGCCUUGGCACUAAGAGCCGAUGAAGGACG
rnacentral:rRNA from 2 species